GAAAUGCGAUAAGUAAUGUGAAUUGCAGAAUUCCGUGAAUCAUCGAAUCUUUGAACGCACAUUGCGCCCUCUGGUAUUCCGGGGGGCAUGCCUGUCCGAGCGUCAUUGCGAACCCCUCAAGCACGGCUUGUGUGAUGGGCCUCUCACGUCUUGAUACCAAGACGGGUCCGAAAAGCAGUGGCGGCGUCGCGGUGAUCCGCUAAGCCAGAGCGUAUGGGGACGCUACAGUCACACGCUCGCGGCGCGGACCGGCGCUGGCCGACCCCCCUAACCAUUCUACGGUUUGACCUCGGAUCAGGUAGGGAUACCCGCUUAACUUAAGC
rnacentral:misc_RNA from 1 species